AUAUAGUGCAAAACACAAGGACCAAAUAAUAUAAUUUAUUGGGGUUUUAGAGCUCAAUCAUUGAAAUGUACAACGGUGGAGAAAGGAAAAUACAAGAAGAUCAGUGUUGACAGGCUAUUGUUAAUGGAAUUGGUGGAUCUGAGAAUGAUCCAUUCACAAUUUGUUGGAAAAUCCAUUUGUUAGCUGCCUCUGUGUAAUGAACUCCAUCCCAAAUUAUCCUCACAGAUGGAUCUUUGCAAGAGUUGGCUAUAAUCACCUCCUUCCCAUUCACAAUCUUCUUGGCACCACAUCUUGCUAAUGUGUUGUAAUUAUACUUGCCACCAUGGCCACAACAAGCUAUAAAAGGCUUUGUGAAUCCUGCAUAACAGACAUUCAUAUUAUUAUUGAACUACUGAUUCAAUGAAGUAUUUGGUAUGUGGCAAGCUACUUACCAAAUUUUUUGGCUUGAGUUAUUAGUUUGUACUUGAGGGAAUAGAUAUCUACAUAAGUAAUGGCAGCCAGAGGAAGCUCUGUCCUGAGUUGAACCACUGCUGCUUUCAAUUCCCGGUUGAAAUAUUGAGACACCUCAUUGAAUGGACUAGCACAACCAUAUUUAUCUAUUUGGGAUGCUGUGAUUAGAAACCUGUCCAAAGAGUAGGGAAGACAACCCACUGGGCCUGUGUUAUGUAUCCAAAAU
rnacentral:misc_RNA from 1 species